GUCGUCCUUUUAAGUAUGUGAUCAAAAACAACUGAUUUGUGUUGGUUUAUGUAUAAACUAAAUGCUCUUGCAAUGUCACUACUUUAUAUCUAUUGUUGAAUACAUCUCCACUUACAAAUAAGGAUGGAGGUUGGAGUCAGUGAGUGUUUUAAAUUCAAAGUUUGAAAUUGUACAUGUGGCCUAGUGUAGUGUGGCCCAGGGUAGUCUAGGGUAGCCUAGGGUAGUCUAGUGUAGCCUAGUGUAGCCUAGGGUAGUGUAGUCUAGUCUAGUGUAGUCUAGCGGUCUAAGACCCUGCUUCUGGAGCACAUGAACAUUGUAACGCUACCAGCAUGAGUUCAAUCCGUCUCACUGCUCUUUCAGCACUCUCUUACACAUCACCUCUAUCUAAUAGAUUUACAAAAUACCCCCCCCAAGGACAGCAUUACUAAAGUACUGUCCCUGUCUCCUGCUAGGUGGUUAACCUGUUCCUGUCCCCUGCUAGGUGGUUAACCUGUUCCUGUCCCCUGCUAGGUGGUUAACCUGUUCCUGUCUCCUGCUAGGUGGUUAACCUGCUCUGUCUCCUGCUAGGUGGUUAACCUGCUCUGUCUCCUGCUAGGUGGUUAACCUGUUCCUGUCUCCUGCUAGGUGGUUAACCUGUUCCUGUCUCCUGCUAGGUGGUUAACCUGUUCCUGUCCCCUGCUAGGUGGUUAACCUGUUCCUGUCUCCUGCUAGGUGGUUAACCUGUUCCUGUCCCCUGCUAGGUGGUUAACCUGUUCCUGUCUCCUGCUAGGUGGUUAACCUGCUCUGUCUCCUGCUAGGUGGUUAACCUGUUCCUGUCUCCUGCUAGGUGGUUAACCUGUUCCUGUCUCCUGCUAGGUGGUUAACCUGUUCCUGUCCCCUGCUAGGUGGUUAACCUGUUCCUGUCUCCUGCUAGGUGGUUAACCUGUUCCUGUCCCCUGCUAGGUGGUUAACCUGUUCCUGUCCCCUGCUAGGUGGUUAACCUGUUCCUGUCUCCUGCUAGGUGGUUAACCUGUUCCUGUCCCCUGCUAGGUGGUUAACCUGUUCCUGUCUCCUGCUAGGUGGUUAACCUGCUCUGUCUCCUGCUAGGUGGUUAACCUGCUCUGUCUCCUGCUAGGUGGUUAACCUGUUCCUGUCUCCUGCUAGGUGGUUAACCUGUUCCUGUCUCCUGCUAGGUGGUUAACCUGUUCCUGUCUCCUGCUAGGUGGUUAACCUGUUCUGUCUCCUGCUAGGUGGUUAACCUGUUCCUGUCUCCUGCUAGGUGGUUAACCUGUUCCUGUCCCCUGCUAGGUGGUUAACCUGUUCCUGUCUCCUGCUAGGUGGUUAACCUGUUCCUGUCUCCUGCUAGGUGGUUAACCUGUUCCUGUCUCCUGCUAGGUGGUUAACCUGUUCCUGUCCCCUGCUAGGUGGUUAACCUGUUCCUGUCUCCUGCUAGGUGGUUAACCUGUUCCUGUCUCCUGCUAGGUGGUUAACCUGUUCUGUCUCCUGCUAGGUGGUUAACCUGUUCCUGUCCCCUGCUAGGUGGUUAACCUGUUCCUGUCUCCUGCUAGGUGGUUAACCUGUUCCUGUCCCCUGCUAGGUGGUUAACCUGUUCCUGUCUCCUGCUAGGUGGUUAACCUGCUCUGUCCCCUGCUAGGUGGUUAACCUGCUCCUGUCCCCUGCUAGGUGGUUAACCUGUUCCUGUCCCCUGCUAGGUGGUUAACCUGUUCCUGUCUCCUGCUAGGUGGUUAACCUGUUCCUGUCUCCUGCUAGGUGGUUAACCUGUUCUGUCUCCUGCUAGGUGGUUAACCUGUUCCUGUCCCCUGCUAGGUGGUUAACCUGUUCCUGUCUCCUGCUAGGUGGUUAACCUGUUCCUGUCUCCUGCUAGGUGGUUAACCUGUUCCUGUCUCCUGCUAGGUGGUUAACCUGUUCUGUCUCCUGCUAGGUGGUUAACCUGUUCCUGUCUCCUGCUAGGUGGUUAACCUGUUCUGUCCCCUGCUAGGUGGUUAACCUGCUCUGUCUCCUGCUAGGUGGUUAACCUGUUCUGUCUCCUGCUAGGUGGUUAACCUGUUCCUGUCCCCUGCUAGGUGGUUAACCUGUUCCUGUCUCCUGCUAGGUGGUUAACCUGUUCCUGUCUCCUGCUAGGUGGUUAACCUGUUCCUGUCUCCUGCUAGGUGGUUAACCUGUUCUGUCUCCUGCUAGGUGGUUAACCUGUUCCUGUCUCCUGCUAGGUGGUUAACCUGUUCUGUCCCCUGCUAGGUGGUUAACCUGCUCUGUCUCCUGCUAGGUGGUUAACCUGUUCCUGUCCCCUGCUAGGUGGUUAACCUGUUCUGUCUCCUGCUAGGUGGUUAACCUGUUCCUGUCCCCUGCUAGGUGGUUAACAUGUUCCUGUCUCCUGCUAGGUAGUUAACCUGCUCUGUCUCCUGCUAGGUGGUUAACCUGUUCUGUCUCCCGCUAGGUGGUUAACCUGCUCUGUCCCCUGCUAGGUGGUUAACCUGCUCUGUCCCCUGCUAGGUGGUUAACCUGUUCCUGUCCCCUGCUAGGUGGUUAACCUGCUCUGUCCCCUGCUAGGUGGUUAACCUGCUCUGUCCCCUGCUAGGUGGUUAACCUGUUCCUGUCCCCUGCUAGGUGGUUAACCUGCUCUGUCUCCUGCUAGGUGGUUAACCUGUUCUGUCUCCUGCUAGGUGGUUAACCUGUUCCUGUCUCCUGCUAGGUGGUUAACCUGUUCCUGUCUCCUGCUAGGUGGUUAACCUGUUCCUGUCUCCUGCUAGGUGGUUAACCUGUUCCUGUCUCCUGCUAGGUGGUUAACCUGUUCCUGUCUCCUGCUAGGUGGUUAACCUGUUCUGUCUCCUGCUAGGUGGUUAACCUGUUCCUGUCUCCUGCUAGGUGGUUAACCUGUUCCUGUCCCCUGCUAGGUGGUUAACCUGUUCUGUCCCCUGCUAGGUGGUUAACCUGUUCCUGUCUCCUGCUAGGUGGUUAACCUGUUCCUGUCCCCUGCUAGGUGGUUAACCUGUUCCUGUCCCCUGCUAGGUGGUUAACCUGUUCCUGUCUCCUGCUAGGUGGUUAAUCUGCUCUGUCCCCUGCUAGGUGGUUAACCUGUUCCUGUCCCCUGCUAGGUGGUUAACCUGUUCCUGUCUCCUGCUAGGUGGUUAACCUGUCCCCUGCUAGGUGGUUAACAUGUUCCUGUCCCCUGCUAGGUGGUUAACCUGUUCCUGUCUCCUGCUAGGUGGUUAAUCUGCUCUGUCCCCUGCUAGGUGGUUAACCUGUUCCUGUCUCCUGCUAGGUGGUUAACCUGCUCUGUCUCCUGCUAGGUGGUUAACAUGUUCCUGUCUCCUGCUAGGUGGUUAACCUGUUCCUGUCUCCUGCUAGGUGGUUAACCUGUUCUGUCUCCUGCUAGGUGGUUAACCUGUUCCUGUCCCCUGCUAGGUGGUUAACCUGUUCCUGUCUCCUGCUAGGUGGUUAACCUGUCUCCUGCUAGGUGGUUAACCUGUUCCUGUCCCCUGCUAGGUGGUUAACAUGUUCCUGUCUCCUGCUAGGUAGUUAACCUGUUCCUGUCUCCUGCUAGGUGGUUAACCUGUUCUGUCCCCCUGCUAGGUGGUUAACCUGUUCCUGUCUCCUGCUAGGUGGUUAACCUGUCUCCUGCUAGGUGGUUAACCUGUUCCUGUCCCCUGCUAGGUGGUUAACAUGUUCCUGUCUCCUGCUAGGUAGUUAACCUGUUCCUGUCUCCUGCUAGGUGGUUAACCUGUUCUGUCCCCCUGCUAGGUGGUUAACAUGUUCCUGUCUCCUGCUAGGUAGUUAACCUGUUCCUGUCUCCUGCUAGGUGGUUAACCUGUUCUGUCCCCUGCUAGGUGGUUAACAUGUUCCUGUCUCCUGCUAGGUGGUUAACCUGUUCCUGUCUCCUGCUAGGUGGUUAACCUGUUCUGUCCCCUGCUAGGUGGUUAACCUGCUCUGUCUCCUGCUAGGUGGUUAACAUGUUCCUGUCUCCUGCUAGGUGGUUAACAUGUUCCUGUCUCCUGCUAGGUGGUUAACCUGCUCUGUCUCCUGCUAGGUGGUUAACCUGCUCUGUCUCCUGCUAGGUGGUUAACAUGUUCCUGUCUCCUGCUAGGUGGUUAACCUGUUCCUGUCUCCUGCUAGGUGGUUAACCUGCUCUGUCUCCUGCUAGGUGGUUAACCUGCUCUGUCUCCUGCUAGGUGGUUAACAUGUUCCUGUCUCCUGCUAGGUGGUUAACCUGUUCCUGUCUCCUGCUAGGUGGUUAACCUGUUCCUGUCUCCUGCUAGGUGGUUAACCUGUUCUGUCUCCUGCUAGGUGGUUAACCUGUUCCUGUCUCCUGUUAGGUGGUUAACCUGUUCCUGUCUCCUGUUAGGUGGUUAACCUGUUCCUGUCCCCUGCUAGGUGGUUAACCUGCUCUGUCCCCUGCUAGGUGGUUAACCUGUUCUGUCUCCUGCUAGGUGGUUAACCUGUUCCUGUCUCCUGCUAGGUGGUUAACCUGUUCCUGUCUCCUGCUAGGUGGUUAACCUGUUCCUGUCCCCUGCUAGGUGGUUAACCUGUUCCUGUCUCCUGCUAGGUGGUUAACCUGUUCUGUCCCCCCUGCUAGGUGGUUAACCUGCUCUGUCCCCUGCUAGGUGGUUAACCUGCUCUGUCUCCUGCUAGGUGGUUAACCUGUUCCUGUCCCCUGCUAGGUGGUUAACCUGUUCUGUCCCCCCUGCUAGGUGGUUAACCUGUUCUGUCUCCUGCUAGGUGGUUAACCUGUUCCUGUCCCCUGCUAGGUGGUUAACCUGUUCUGUCUCCUGCUAGGUGGUUAACCUGUUCUGUCCCCUGCUAGGUGGUUAACCUGUUCUGUCUCCUGCUAGGUGGUUAACCUGUUCUGUCUCCUGCUAGGUGGUUAACCUGUUCCUGUCUCCUGCUAGGUGGUUAACCUGUUCCUGUCUCCUGCUAGGUGGUUAACCUGCUCUGUCCCCUGCUAGGUGGUUAACCUGCUCCUGUCCCCUGCUAGGUGGUUAACCUGCUCUGUCCCCUGCUAGGUGGUUAACCUGUUCCUGUCCCCUGCUAGGUGGUUAACCUGUUCUGUCUCCUGCUAGGUGGUUAACCUGCUCUGUCCCCUGCUAGGUGGUUAAUCUGCUCUGUCUCCUGCUAGGUGGUUAAUCUGUUCCUGUCUCCUGCUAGGUGGUUAACCUGUUCCUGUCUCCUGCUAGGUGGUUAACCUGUUCCUGUCUCCUGCUAGGUGGUUAACCUGUUCUGUCCCCCCUGCUAGGUGGUUAAUCUGCUCUGUCUCCUGCUAGGUGGUUAAUCUGUUCCUGUCUCCUGCUAGGUGGUUAACCUGUUCCUGUCUCCUGCUAGGUGGUUAACCUGUUCCUGUCUCCUGCUAGGUGGUUAACCUGUUCCUGUCUCCUGCUAGGUGGUUAACCUGUUCUGUCUCCUGCUAGGUGGUUAACCUGUUCCUGUCUCCUGUUAGGUGGUUAACCUGUUCCUGUCUCCUGUUAGGUGGUUAACCUGUUCCUGUCCCCUGCUAGGUGGUUAACCUGCUCUGUCCCCUGCUAGGUGGUUAACCUGUUCUGUCUCCUGCUAGGUGGUUAACCUGUUCCUGUCUCCUGCUAGGUGGUUAACCUGUUCCUGUCUCCUGCUAGGUGGUUAACCUGUUCCUGUCCCCUGCUAGGUGGUUAACCUGUUCCUGUCUCCUGCUAGGUGGUUAACCUGUUCUGUCCCCCCUGCUAGGUGGUUAACCUGCUCUGUCCCCUGCUAGGUGGUUAACCUGCUCUGUCUCCUGCUAGGUGGUUAACCUGUUCCUGUCCCCUGCUAGGUGGUUAACCUGUUCUGUCCCCCCUGCUAGGUGGUUAACCUGUUCUGUCUCCUGCUAGGUGGUUAACCUGUUCCUGUCCCCUGCUAGGUGGUUAACCUGUUCUGUCUCCUGCUAGGUGGUUAACCUGUUCUGUCCCCUGCUAGGUGGUUAACCUGUUCUGUCUCCUGCUAGGUGGUAAACUGUUCCUGUCCCCUGCUAGGUGGUUAACCUGCUCUGUCCCCUGCUAGGUGGUUAACCUGUUCCUGUCUCCUGCUAGGUGGUUAACCUGUUCUGUCUCCUGCUAGGUGGUUAACCUGUUCCUGUCUCCUGCUAGGUGGUUAACCUGUUCCUGUCUCCUGCUAGGUGGUUAACCUGCUCUGUCCCCUGCUAGGUGGUUAACCUGCUCCUGUCCCCUGCUAGGUGGUUAACCUGCUCUGUCCCCUGCUAGGUGGUUAACCUGUUCCUGUCCCCUGCUAGGUGGUUAACCUGUUCUGUCUCCUGCUAGGUGGUUAACCUGCUCUGUCCCCUGCUAGGUGGUUAAUCUGCUCUGUCUCCUGCUAGGUGGUUAAUCUGUUCCUGUCUCCUGCUAGGUGGUUAACCUGCUCUGUCUCCUGCUAGGUGGUUAACCUGUUCCUGUCCCCUGCUAGGUGGUUAACCUGUUCCUGUCUCCUGCUAGGUGGUUAACCUGUUCCUGUCUCCUGCUAGGUGGUUAACCUGUUCUGUCCCCCCUGCUAGGUGGUUAAUCUGCUCUGUCUCCUGCUAGGUGGUUAAUCUGUUCCUGUCUCCUGCUAGGUGGUUAACCUGUUCCUGUCUCCUGCUAGGUGGUUAACCUGUUCCUGUCUCCUGCUAGGUGGUUAACCUGUUCCUGUCUCCUGCUAGGUGGUUAACCUGUUCCUGUCUCCUGCUAGGUGGUUAACCUGUUCUGUCUCCUGCUAGGUGGUUAACCUGUUCCUGUCCCCUGCUAGGUGGUUAACCUGUUCUGUCUCC